rnacentral:tRNA from 1 species
UCUCUAGUGGCUCAGAUGGUAAAGAAUCUGCCUGCAAUGCAGGACACCCGGGUUUGAUCCCUGGGUAGGGAA